rnacentral:rRNA from 5 species
GGAAUACCCGCUGAACUUAAGCAUAUCAAUAAGCGGAGGA